rnacentral:rRNA from 1 species
CCUANGGGUGGCUGCAGUCGUGAAUCUUCCGCAAUGGGCGAAAGCCUGACGGAGCGACACCGCGUGUAGGAUGAAGGCCUUCGGGUUGUAAACUACUGUCACGUUCUAGGAACUGCUCAGUGUGAAUAGCACUGAGCUCGACCAAGACGGGAGGAAGCACCGGCUAACUCUGUGCCAGCAGCCGCGGUAAGACAGAGGGUGCAAACGUUGUUCGGAAUUACUGGGCAUAAAGCGCACGUAGGUGGUCCGCUAAGUCGCGUGUGAAAUCCCCCGGCUCAACCGGGGAAUUGCGGGCGAUACUGGCGGGCUAGAGAUCGGGAGGGGUGAGUGGAACUCCAGGUGGAGCGGUGAAAUGCGUAGAUAUCUGGAGGAACACCGGUGGCGAAAGCGACUCACUGGCCCGAUACUGACACUGAGGUGCGAAAGCUAGGGUAGCAAACGGGAUUAGAUACCCCGNUANUC